GGGGGUGUAGUUAAUUAUAAUAUUUAAAUUGCAAUUAAAAGUUGUCCAAGACCUCCCUCA
rnacentral:tRNA from 1 species